CGGAGGUUUGUAGCUGCGGGGAUUCUCUAUUUCCGGCCAUGAAGUUCCGAGGCAAGAUUGUGGAUGUUGGAUGUUUAAAUCAUUUUACCCGUGUUGUGAACACUAUCUCCAAACUCACAAAGUCAUGUGUUCUAAGACUUACCAAUGACAAAUUGUACUUUAUUCUUUCUGACAAAAUGGCAAGUGGAGGUGUUGCAAUGUGGUGUCAGUUAUUUCAGGGUAAUUUUUUUGAUGAGUUUCAGAUUGAAGGUGUAUCAGCAGAGCAUAACGAAAUUUACCUGGAACUAAUGCCUGAAAACCUCUCAAGGUCCUUGAAAACAGCUCAGAAUGCCAAAACUGUGAAAAUUAAGCUGACAAUGAAACAUUGUCCAUGUAUCACCAUUGCUGUAGAACUGCCAUCCCUCUCCAGCCACAGUCGCAUUGUUACACAUGACAUUCCUGUCAGCAUCAUCCCCAGAAAACUUUGGAAUGAUUUUGAAGAACCCAGUGUUCCAGAUUUUGAUGUCAGUAUUUAUUUACCAGUAUUGAAGACCAUGAAGAGUGUUGUGGAAAGAAUGAAGAACCUUGCUAACCAUGUUGUAAUUGAAGCCAAUCAAAAUGGAGAAAUGAAUUUGAAAAUUGAUACUGAUUUGGUGUCAGUGACAACACAUUUUAAAGAACUCGGGAAUCCCCCUUGGGUUGAAGAAGGUACGCAACCUGAGUCCUUCCAAAUAAGAGACCCAGUGGACAUGGCUGAAGCAAGGAUAGACAUAAAAAGACUUCUCCAGUUUCUUGCUGGACAGCAGGUCAAUCCAAGCAAAGCCAUAUGCACAUUGGAAACGCUGCGUCAGAUGCUGACCAGACAGAAAACUACCCACUUACCUGGAUAUGUUUAAAAAGGCUAGACUUCCGAUCCACCAUGCAGAAUAACAACCUCAGCACAGAAAUCCACACAGAGAACAAUGAAGAGAAUCAGCACAGAAGAUACUUUUUACAGCACUAGCUGCUGUAUGAUAUCGUGAGUAAGAAAGUUAUUCAUUUUGUUUUGCUACAUGAGGAUGUGUCUCUUCAGUACUUUAUCCCAGCUCUUGCUUGAGAAACUUCACAUGAACAUUUAAUGGUAUCAUGGACGCCAACAGAAGUAUCAUCCUUGUUUGAAAUGAAUGAGCAUCCUGCCUGAUAAGUCCACCCUGUAACAAGACAUUUAGAAAUGGUGCCAACAUUUGGACUUGCCAUUGCAAUAACCUUUUAUUUUUUAGAUCUUUGAAAAGUUGUUGCUAGAUAAAUAAUGUCUAAUUUCAGACUCAAUACAGAUAGAAUGAUUUAAUAUUUUUUUUCCACUUUGCCUGUGAGGUUUAUCUGGUUCGCUACAGCUUUCAACAGCUACUGAAGAUGAAACUCCAUUUUUCAAGCUGUCUUUAAUCUGGUUUCAAAGUGUAAAACUUGUAUCUUUUAAAAAAAACUGCAAAGGCCUUCUGUAGAGUUAUUGCUUUGCUGCAUAUUCUUUAUCUUUCAUAUCUAAGGAAUCACUUGUGUUCUUGCAGGUUAAAAACAAUGUUCCAAUUUAUGCACAAUUGUUUACAAUCUCAUUGCCCAGUUAUGUCCUUGUUUGCUUUUUCUUGCAUUGUACCACUGUCAAUUUGUUUAUUUAUUGAGGUUACAAGACCAAAAGGUUGAGUCAUACUUAUUUUUAAACUGUUUCUAUAUUUUCAAUAAAAACUUGAAAAGGUA